rnacentral:rRNA from 1 species
AUUGAACGCUGGCGGCAGGCCUAACACAUGCAAGUCGAACGGUAACAGGAAGAAGCUUGCUUCUUUGCUGACGAGUGGCGGACGGGUGAGUCAUGUCUGGGAAACUGCCUGAUGGAGGGGGAUGACUACUGGAAACGGUAGCUAAUACCGCAUAACGUCGCAAGACCAAAAAGGGGGACCUUCGGGCCUCUUGCCAUCGGAUGUGCCCAGAUGGGAUUAGCUAGUAGGUGGGGUAACGGCUCACCUAGGCGACGAUCCCUAGCUGGUCUGAGAGGAUGACCAGCCACACUGGAACUGAGACACGGUCCAGACUCCUACGGGAGGCAGCAGUGGGGAAUAUUGCACAAUGGGCGCAAGCCUGAUGCAGCCAUGCCGCGUGUAUGAAGAAGGCCUUCGGGUUGUAAAGUACUUUCAGCGGGGAGGAAGGGAGUAAAGUUAAUACCUUUGCUCAUUGACGUUACCCGCAGAAGAAGCACCGGCUAACUCCGUG